rnacentral:rRNA from 1 species
UACGUAGGGGGCAAGCGUUGUCCGGAUUUAUUGGGCGUAAAGAGCGUGUAGGCGGCCAGAUAGGUCAGCUGUGAAAACUCGAGGCUCAACCUCGAGAUGUCGGCUGAAACCAUCUGGCUAGAGUCCGGAAGAGGAGAAUGGAAUUCCAGGUGUAGCGGUGAAAUGCGUAGAUAUCUGGAGGAACAUCGGUGGCGAAGGCGGCAUCCUGGACCGGUAUUGACGCUGAGGCGCGAAAGCCAGGGGAGCAAACGGG